rnacentral:tRNA from 1 species
AUUUAUAUAGUUUAAUAAUAAACCUAUCAUUUUCAAUGAUAAAAUGAGAAAUUUAUAUCUCUAUAAAUA